rnacentral:ncRNA from 1 species
UCGAUUUUGGAAUCAAGAUGUCUUGGAAUCGAUUAAAUACAUUAUCCAGUAAUCAAGGGGUUCUCGAAUACUGGCGUAACGGAUCAAUUAGGCAAACGACGUAAUACGGCAGGUUAUAAGAAUAGCCACUUAUAUCCCUAGAAAAAGCCCAAUGAACCGCUUUUAAGCGGGUUUAUCAGGAAAGCUGAUAGAUAUACCUAAUUGAUUGUCAUCGACGGAGAGGGGCGCUUUAUAAGCGUAUCUGAUGGCACGUAGGG